rnacentral:lncRNA from 1 species
GAAGUUGAAGAGCAUUGAGCAUGUUGAGAACCAAAAUUUUAUGAAAAUUUUGCAAAAUACAGCCAAGGUAGUCUUUUCCUGGUGUAGAACAGAUAUAUAAUAUUAUUCUGAGCGGAAAUAUCAUCAAAAUAUAAAAUAUAUAUGCAACAGGAUAAUAAUUGUAUAUAGGACGCCCGCGUCGUCUACAAAAGUCUCAUGAUUCUCAUCGGUGUCUAGAAUAAAAAUAUUGAAAGGUAAAAUCAACUAAUAAUUUGGAAGAGCAUUGAGUACA